CUUCAAUUAAAGGAGAUAAAAAUAACAAAAAAGUAGAUACUCUAAAUUUCAUUGACAAAAGUCCACCUGAUAAAGUACUAAAUAAAUUUAAUAAGUUAACUUUAGGAGUAAAAAAAUGCUCUUGCAAUAUAGCUGCUCGAUCUGAAUUAGGCAGCUACCCUAUUGAUUGCUUUAUAAAAAGACAAACUCUUCUUUUUCAUGAUAGACUAUUAAGGGAAGAAACUAGUCCCUUACUAAAAGAGACAC
rnacentral:lncRNA from 1 species